UAGCAAAAUUAAAUUUUAUGUAUGAUAUCCGAGCAGUGAGAAACAUAUUUGAAUCUUACUUUGGAUGUUCUAGAAGGAACCAAGAAAAAUACGCAUUUACUAGAACUUCCAAGCUCUACUUAUCGGACAUCUGAUAAAAUACAAACAUCUUAGGUAAACAUUUAAAUGGUACAAGUUAUAAAGAAUCCAUCAUGGUUUUACUAAAAACACGUCUCGAGAGUUGUCGUUUAGACUUAUUGUCAGUUUAUUAAUUUCAUUUAUGGAUAGAUGAGAUAAUAUUGUUCAAAGCACAAAAUAUUGAUACGGGCCACGGGGACGCCUUUCACCGACAUCGGACAUAUUCAUAUUUCAGUAAUCGCUGUGUUUCUCAACGGUUGACAGUCCAAACACGUUCUAUUUACUAUUUUUUUUAAAAAAUGCCUAAAGUAAGUGCCCUGAUAAGAAAACCUAUAAA